UAGGGAAUCUUCCGCAAUGGGCGAAAGCCUGACGGAGCAACGCCGCGUGAGUGAUGAAGGUCUUCGGAUCGUAAAACUCUGUUAUUAGGGAAGAACAAAUGUGUAAGUAACUAUGCACGUCUUGACGGUACCUAAUCAGAAAGCCACGGCUAACUACGUGCCAGCAGCCGCGGUAAUACGUAGGUGGCAAGCGUUAUCCGGAAUUAUUGGGCGUAAAGCGCGCGUAGGCGGUUUUUUAAGUCUGAAGUGAAAGCCCACGGCUCAACCGUGGAGGGUCAUUGGAAACUGGAAAACUUGAGUGCAGAAGAGGAAAGUGGAAUUCCAUGUGUAGCGGUGAAAUGCGCAGAGAUAUGGAGGAACACCAGUGGCGAAGGCGACUUUCUGGUCUGUAACUGACGCUGAUGUGCGAAAGCGUGGGGAUCAAACAGG
rnacentral:rRNA from 1 species